rnacentral:pre_miRNA from 1 species
UAAUUUUUUGGUGGCAGAUUCUUAUCUAACUGUGACAGAUCUUGACUCGAAUACUUAAAAUUCUUACUUUCUACUAACCUGACUAUAUCAGAAUUACAUCUUCAUGGGAGGAUUUCAACAAC